GAGUUUCAAUCUUAAGGACAUAUUGCUGCUACUGCUACAGCAGUCUGCUCACCAGCCAGUCCCUGGAGGAGAUGGCAACUGCUUCAACAAGAAACACCACCCAGAUCGUCCAACACCUCCUGGAUCUGCACACAGCUUAAUCAAGACACUGUGGGCUUAUUUUUCUGCUGUGAUAGGGAAAUCUGCAGCUCCCUGCACAGGAAAUGAUAUCACUCCUGCCCUUGCCACAGUUCCACUAGGGAAGGGUACUUGAACAUUUCAUAGCCUGACAAAGGUCUGCCAGGGAGGAGGGUAUUACUCCCUGUUUUGCAGCUCAAGACCUAAGACAAGAGACCAUGUGGAAUGACCUGCAUGACAGAAAAUCUGAAUCUGAGCAGGGAUUCAACCUUUCAUACCAGGCUUGCCUUGAGUUUUGGAGGGGGGUUUUUUCUUGCAUGGUUGGAUAGUAACAUGGAAUUCCAUACAUCAGACAUAAAAAACCAGGAAAAGGUAAUUAAAACACUUCCCAUAAGGAGAUCAUUAUAUUCUGAUUGACCAAAUCCUUUCUUGGGGAAAGAGUACUACCUGGCUGUUAGAGAAGAAACUCAAAGGGACAGUCAUACUGACCCUGCCACACUGAGUGGUUUUCAGGAAAUAUUAAAUGUAAUAUAAUCAUUUCUAGGGCACUAUUUGGGCUCAGGGCAUAGGAAGAUGAGAAAAUCUGAAAUUGAAAAGCCAACACUUCAAAUGGCAUAAAACAGCUAGUUGAAUUUGCAUCAGUCAAGGUGACAGUACAAUUAAUAUAGGCAGCACUUCAUUUGAAAAUCAAAGCAACUGUGGAUGUAUGAUUAGCAAAAUACCUGUAAAUCCUGUUUGAAUAGAGGAGGGAGCUAUGUUUUGUCUUAUAAAUCAGGAUUUUAGUUGCUGUGGUAAUGUUCCUUGUAUAACUUGUCUACAUAAAUGAAACUCAAGUCCUGUUGUCUCAAGCCACAGAGGAUUAUAGAGUAAUGAAAAACAAAACUAAACCGAAGGAACCCAGUCAACUGAAGACUUAAAACUGAAAUUUUAAGUAAAAGUUAAACAAAAAGUUACACCAACAGAUUAACUCUUUUUGAUGUUUUCAUUUCACUAAGGAAAACAAACUUUGGAAACACUUUACAACUGAAAAAUAGAGCACUGAUGGUAAAACAAUCCUGUGCAGCUGUGUCUGUCUCCUGCACUUGCCUCUGGCACCUUGGGUGGAUGUCUUUCAGAAAAAACAUAGAGGUGCUGACUAGCAGCUGGGGAUGGUCAUGAACAAAGGCUGAGGGGGAGUAUUAUAACAUAAUUGGGCAGAUUUGAGGUCGGAUAAUAGCCCAAUCUAACAGUAAUCAAUGAACACAUAGUAAUUUUAUUUCUUAUAAAAUUUCAAGGCAGUUGAAAUUCAUUUAUGUUCAGCAUUCUGGAAAGAGCAAAACAGAUUUUCAUCGUUUACUAAAUAGAGCUACACCAUGGCCUAUGUUUUACUGGCUUUAUCACUAUAUGCAAAGUGUUGUACAAACAUUGAGCCAGUGCAUAAUAAAGCAACAAGUCUGGACUGAGCAUAGCUGCCACCCCACAGUAAACAACCCUGGUCUAAUCACCAAAUAUUAUGAAGCCCUGGGAACAGCUUUUGGAGGACACAACAUUGCACUUUUUCCAAGUGGCUAAAGCUGUUGGCUGGGGCAGGGCACUAGUUCAGGGUCCUCAGGGAAAUCCAUUUGCUUCCCAAUGCUCAUGUCUUACUAGCUAAAGAGAAGCCAAAAAAAGCAGCAGCAAGUGGACAAAUGUCAGGAUUGUGUAAUCUACCACGUUAUUUUUUCCCUCUUCAGGAAAUAACUAGAGAAAUUAACAUAAUGUAUGGAAGCCAUGAGCUGAUGUCUUAUUUCUCUUAGUAGAGGGCAUGGAUUUAACUGUCUCUUACUGUAGUAGGAUUUCACAGGCCAUAGAGCUAUGCUGACAUGUCCCUGAAUCUUUAAAAGAAAAGGAAAAUCCCUCUACUGCACCCCUUUGUAAAACACAAAAUCUCCUGUCCUCAUAAUGCUUACCCAGAAUGCCUGGGGUGCCCUGAUCUGAUUUUGCUAUUAAUCAUUAUCUCCCCACCUAAUUACCUGCCUGUCUGACUAAUUGCAUCUGGGAGGCCAGUAACUGCAAGGCAGGGAGGUUUGUGUCUAUUUAUCUCAUAUUUACACCUGACAAGUAGUUUAAACAUGGGCUCCUCCCAUGACUGACCUAACAUGGCAUACUAUGCCUUGCCACAGGAAUUGCAUCAAGAAGCUGGUUCCCUUCAGACUGGGUUAUCAGUGUUGUACAUGCUUUUUCCUCCUUUGGAUGCCAAAUUCUCCAGGUGUCCCUUGAUGCUGGGAUCACCUGGUGGCUCUGUCCAAUGGUUCAUGCAGAUUUCCCAAGAGGAGCUGUGCACAUAGGCAAGGCUUGAACCCAUAUUUGAGCAGUUUUCAGCUGUUUCCAGGUGAACUUCAGACUGUUGAUUUUUGGUCUGCAACUUAGAGGCAACUUUAGCUGCCACACAGCGAAUAGAGAAGUGGAGGCAGAAAAGCACAGGGAAUCCUUCUCUCCUCCGCCAUCAUUUAAAUUGGAUACAUGGUAUGGAAGAGACCCCCUGGAGCGGAAUAUAACCAAAAUUCUGACUAAAUUGAAGAAAUUAGUGUGCUGCAACAUCUCACUGAGAGGUGGAGAUAGGGCAGUGGGGCCAAAAAGAUCAAGAAGAGCAUCUAUCAGAAUUGCCUCUAUCUUUGGAGGCAAUAAAACCUAUACUGUACCCCCUGGUCCAACAGAGACUGGUCUGGCUGCUUGUUGAGGGGGAGGUGGGUGGCAUUUCAGAGCUUGCUGUGUGGAAACUUUUUUCAUCUAUUUUUGAGGCUGUCGAAGGAAGUAUGAGCUAAAGGCAAAAGACUGUGGGGGGAAAUAUUUGUAGAAAAUAUUUUGUAGGAGCUUGCAGGAUUUUUAAAAAAUUUAUGUGACGAGCAAGCAGAGACUUAUAUAAGUGCCAAAGCUGCAUUAUCAAAAUGUUAGUAGGUAAAACAUAUUAAUAAAAAUGCUGUGAAAUGAAGAAUCAUCUGAAUUUCUUUGAACACAGGAGAGAUGUUAAUAAUGGUCCCUCAGCCCACUGCCAAUAUGCUUCAGGACUCAGAGCUGCACAUAACUCUGAGCUCCACAACUCAUCCUGUUUGUCCUUGCUUCCAGACUGCCAGAGUGCAGGUCAGUUCAUGGUCAACAGUACUGGAGGCAGCUGACACAUCCAAAAGAAUCAGAAAUGACACCUGAUCUUCAUCCAUCAUUGACAAAGGAUUAUCAGCCAACACAAAUAUGUGCUGUGACUUCUGUUAUCAAGUGGUUUGUAAACAACCAUGUAUUACAGACAGGAUUUCAAGGGAGACCAGUGUUGCCUUAUCCAGAAAGAAAAACAGAACAAAAGUGUGCUUACAUGAACUGAUGCAAAUUCAGUGCUCAUAGCAUACUGAGAGUGGGAUUAUCUGGCCAUCUACUGAAGGAUCUGGGAUCUGACUGAAGGAUUUGGGAUCAGUUUCCUACAGAGAAGAGAUAGUUAAGGAAAUAAUGAAGAUCAAAUUGAAGUAUAUCGCUGUGUGGAAGAGUGUCUGGUUUAAAACUGAGAUUUAUUGGGUACUUUUUCUAUGUGAAACAAGUUUAGAAGCACUAUGUUCCAAUCUCUUAAACUGGCUGUCAUGUAGAGAAUUUUCAUAUGGCGCAGUUACUGCACAGAUCAGUCAGAAUUCAUGUAAUUCUGACUUUAAAGGAAAUCUCUGGAUUGUUCUGUCCAAAAUAGGGCUAUUUUAAUUUAUAAAAACAGAGAAAAAGGGAAGGACUGUUCUUUGGACAAGGAGGCAAUUCUCUCUGUGUGUGCCUCUUCUCUGACAUCAGAGCCCAGAAAAUAAUAUUCCCCCAAACUGGUAACCCUAACUUCUCCCUCACACCAUAGUGGUCUCCUCAGCCCCUUCUGUCCCAAGCCCUAAAUUUCCCAGUCCUUCCUUCCUAAAAGCUCUUUCAAAUGCCUUCUGUGUUGAGGUUCCCCUUCCACAUUGUCCUUUCCCAAGGCCUCUGCUGUUUCAAAUCGCCUUUCUCCCACACAAAAACCACUCAUGUUCCUCCCCAUUUCUCCUUGCUUAGAUUAACUUCAUCUCUGACAAUUAUUUUCCCAUCAUUUUCACUAACCCUGUUCCUCCAGAGGCAGUCCUUGCAAUCUCCAAACCUCUAAAAACAGAUAAAUAAGGCCUUCCCAAUCCUUUUUGAAACCCAGCCUUUCUUUCCCAUCUGCCACCUUCCUUCUCCAAACCCUUUAUCGAACAGUUCCUCAGACCUUUAGUUCCCCUUCUGUUCCCAUUUCCUUUCCUGCAGCCCUUGUGCUCCACAUCCUUAGUACUACCAAACUUGUUCCCACCUCUUGAGUGGUGCCAUUCAUUUAUAACUGUGUAUAUCAGCACAGCCUUCUCCUGCACCCCUGCCUCCAGCAGAACCCUCCUGUUCCUUCUGUUGUCCUCAGAGAAACUCUUUGGAGAGGCUGGGCACACACUUGGAGCCAGCUGCAUUGGUUCCAUCAGACAUGAAGGAAACUUCCAGCAGCUUCUCACAGGACGAGCCCUGCAGCCACCCAGCUACCAAAAACUCGCCAUGCAAAGCCAAGACAGAAGUAAUUAUUCAAGUGCUCCAAAAUCUCUUCCAAAUCAUUCUCAGAAACACAGGAGUUUGAAGUGGUUUUCUGCUUUUUUCCUCCAUACUUGGACACAAGACAAUGGUGAAAUGACCUCAGAAAGCUUUAUGGAAGGGAUUAUGAGAUGUUGUCAUAGCAAAUUACCAGCUCCUGAUCAACACUGGUGUUGGCGCCUCACAAAAGCAAGAAACUCACGAGACAGGAAAAGCCUCUCCAGCAGAAGGGAGAAAGGAGACUCCCCUGCCAGAGCACUUUCCAUAGUGCAGAGAGGAUCCCCAGAGGCUGGGCUGGCUCUGUCUGUUGUCCUCUGUGAGGGUGCCACAUGGGGACACCCCAACCUCCUCUCCAUGUGCCCAGGGUGCUGGGAUUCCCUCAUGUCCUCAGGCUGGGACCUGCAGCCUCUCUCUACAGAACUGUGUCAGAAAGCUGUGGUUUUGACAGCUGGACUGACAACUGUCCUUUGGGAAGGGACUCCAAUGAGCAUGUCAAAGUUGUCAUGCAAAGGGUGACAACUGUCAGAUAACCAUUGUCACUGAUUUCUGUAGUUAUGUUUUUUACAGUUUACAUAAUAUUUUGACUGUGAAAUAUCAUCUAAUUGCAUACUUCCUAGUGGGAAAAAUUGUUAUUUUUUCUCAUUUUUAUUCCGCGUGCUAGAAUGUUUUUCCCAUAGUCUUUUCUUACACCUCCAAGCCUUGCUGUAGUAAUUUAAUAAUUGAUUAACAAGCACUGAAAACAGUAGAACAAUUUAUUCCAACUGUGACAUCCACAUUAGGGGGCUUACUUUGGGGGCAGAUUUUGCUUUCCCAUUUAGAGUUGUAAACUCAGUUUUUCGGUUGCAAAAUAGACCUUUUAGAGCAGCCCCCAUACUGUCUAGCAAACUUCUGAAAUAAAGCUGCAAGUCUUUUAAAAAUC